AGCCCUUCGCUGGCCAGCUUUAGUUCCGGCCGAGGCGAGUAAAGCUGCCAGUUGAAGAGCUAU
rnacentral:pre_miRNA from 1 species